rnacentral:rRNA from 1 species
CAGUCGCCACGGGAACACGUAGGGUGCAAGCGUUAAUCGGAAUUACUGGGCGUAAAGCGUGCGCAGGCGGUUAUAUAAGACAGAUGUGAAAUCCCCGGGCUCAACCUGGGAACUGCAUUUGUGACUGUAUAGCUAGAGUACGGCAGAGGGGGAUGGAAUUCCGCGUGUAGCAGUGAAAUGCGUAGAUAUGCGGAGGAACACCGAUGGCGAAGGCAAUCCCCUGGGCCUGUACUGACGCUCAUGCACGAAAGCGUGGGGAGCAAACAGGAUUAGAUACCCCUGUAGUCCCUGUCUCUUAUAC